rnacentral:pre_miRNA from 1 species
CUUUGAAAUAAUAAUGAUGAUGAUGAUGAUGAUGAUGAUAUUCUUUAUUGUAUAUAUGAUAUCAUCAUCAUCAUCAUCAUCAUCAUCAUCAUCA